AUGACUAUGCUACUGUGGUUUAAGAGUUUACUAUGCUAUACUUUUCAUUGUUACAUUGAAGCAUACUUCUACCUAAAAAGUUCAGCCUGGGUAACAGAGCAAGACCCUGUCUCUAAAAACACGUGUUUUUUGUUUGUUUGUUUGUUUUUUCUUUGUUUCCUUUGUUUUGAGACAGAGUUUCCCUCUUUUCACCCAGGCUGGAGUCAGAGUGAGACUCUGUCUCAAAAAAAAUAAAAAUAAAAAUAAAAUAAAAUAAAUGUUUAAUUUCUGCCAGAAAUUUGAUUUACAUAUCAUUUACAUAUUUUUUCAUCCUACAAAAUGAUGUCAGUUUUAUUACCACAGAGCCUUUGCCUUAUAAAGUACUUAUGAUAAGGCACGGUGAGAUAGAUUAAGCAAACCCUUAAAAACUUCACAUACUUACAAUCUCUCAAAAGAGUAUUACUUUUCCUUGGGUACAAAACAUGCAUGAAUUUUUUCCCAACAGCUUUUAGAUCACGCAUCUGAAAAACAGAAACAACCUGUUGUAUUGUGAUGACCAAGGUUGUCAGCAGCCUUACUUAAUUUGCUAAAAUUUCUUUUAUUUCAAUCUCCUGUGAACUCUUCAUUGAAUUUUGCAGAUAAUUCCAGUUCAACUCCUUCACUACACAAACAAACCAGAGAGGUAGGGUAUGCUUUUUCUAUUAACUCCUUAAGCCAACUUUUAACACUUUUCCACAUCUUUUUUGAUCUGUUCUGUUUUCAUGUUGAAAAAAAAUCCAUAAAAAAGAAACACAGCCCUCCCAAUAGGCUGCUUGAAGAAACUAAAACAAUUGCACUAUAAAAAGCUGCUCUACAAAACACAGUAUGCGACAUUCAGUUCAUAGAAGAUGAGGUCUCAAGGGUCAAUUAGCCUGCUCUCUAGCUACGACAUUCUUUGCAAUAUAUGAAAUAAAUUUCUAACAUUCUCAAUUUAAUUGGUAAACAAAUCCUAGAAGCCAGAUUAAAAAAAAAAAUCACGAAACUGGAGGAAGGGUUCAGUAAUACAAAUACAACCUCUCAAAGUACCACUGAGCUAAUUCUGUUUUAGUUUUUUCACCUAGAACUUUAUCCAUGUUAUUAAACACUUUGUAAACAUAAUUUUUAAUAGUUGUUUAGCAUCCCAUCACAAAGAUAUAACAUAAUUUACCUAACCAAUACCUCAUCUAUGGUUCAUUUAUUUCUAGCUUUCCCCUAUUACAAAGAAUGCUAUAAUAAACAUCUUUGUAUAUUGAUACUUUUAUGUUGAAAAUUUUUGUUUUACAUUUUAAAACUUUCCUUAUACUAUAUUUGGAGAAGUAUGAUAAUAUAUUGGUU
rnacentral:lncRNA from 1 species